ensembl:snoRNA
AGUGCAUAAGCAUUGAAAAAUGAUCAGAAAUAUAACACACCCAACAGGAAUCUGUAGUCAUUGUGAUAAGGGACACAAAACUUCUGGCCUCCCUAUGAACAAUUCCCUAUAUAGGA